UAAUAGUUUAAUUAUAAUUUUUUAAAUUAUUAUCACUAUGUAAUUGUAGUAUUAGUGGCCUAAUAGUUGCAUUUAUUAUUAUUUUUAGUUGAAUUGUUUGUAGGUUAUUUGUACUCUUGGUUUAUACUUUAAACAUCAUUAAUGGUUAUUGAUGCACUUUUUGUUAUCUAUUAUUCUUUAAAUUAAUUUUAGAUAUGUUUUUUAAAAAUGUUGAUGGUUAUUACUCAUUUCUAGAAACUGAAAUAAACCUAAAAUAUGCAUUAAAAAUAUACCUAAAAGUAUAUAUUUAUUAAUUAAUUGAUGUGUCCCCGCUGUAUUGUGUCCUAAUUUUUAAAGAAUUUCUGUGUCCCGUGUUAUGUCCGUGGUCAUAGUUCUUAGAUAUUGGUAGACCAUAACCAUUGUUUGUGCAUCCCACCAUUUUGAGGAUGAUGAUUGGUGACACAGAUUUCUUAGCAGCAUUUAAAAUGGUUGUAGCCUUUUCAUUUAGAUUUUAUAUAUACCUGAUCAGUUGAGCUCUUUGUGGAUGGUGUAGCAAUGACUGAGAAUGAAAUUUCUUGGUGUUUUGAAGGCUUUUGAAUGAUAUAGGUUAAAUUCACUUUCAUACAAUAUUUUUGAAAUUACAUUUUGGACAUAUAUCACACAACUGCAGACUAUUGAGUUUUAAUGUUACAAAAAAGGAGCAAUUUGUUUACUAUUUCAGAAAAGAAAAAGGGUUAGUGACAUGCAAAAUUUUCUACAGUAUCCCUUAGUAAAGUAAGAGCAGCCUAUAUAUAUAUAUAUAUAUAUAUAUAUAUUUGAUGUCCUGUAAUAUUCAACACAUAAUGGGAAACUUAGAUACAAGCAAUGGAUUCUGUGGAUACUGGAUAAUAGAACAGCUGCAACAACCUACUGAAGCUGCUUAUUUACUUCUAUUUUGCAACAUGCUUUUGUUCAUAUUUUGCUUUGUUCCAUUUGAAUAGCUAUCUGUUUAGUUGCAGUGUGGUCAUGAUGGAGGGUGAUCCCAUCCUGGUGCAAUUAAAGGUUACAUGCCAUUGCAAAGUUUUAAUCCUUCUAUUGAUGCGAGUAGAAAGGUCAUGAUACCUGAAAUAUCCUAUGACUAUUGACCUCCGGUUCUUCUCUUUUGGCUUCUGUUCUCCUCACUCAAAGGUCAAGUGACCUCAAAUGUCCAAUGACGGAGGGUGAUCCCCAUCCUGGAGCAAUUAUAGGUUGCAUGCCAUUUCAAAGUUUUAAUCCUUCUAUUGAUGCGAGCAGAAAGGUCAAGAUACCUGAAAUAUCCUAUGACUAUUCAGUAUUCACCUCCUGUUCUUCUCAUUUGGCUUCUGUUCUCCUCACGCAAAGGUCAAGUAACCUCAAAUAUCCAAUGACUAUUCACCUCCUGUGCUUCUCCUUUAGCUUUUUUUCUCCUCAUGCAAUGCCAUGUGGUGGUAGAACCUGAAUGAAGCAGCAGCAAAGCCAGUGUCUGCCACUUCUUCUGGUAGUCAAAGUGGAAUAUCUUUGAGUGAAAAUGGAUCAUUAAUGGAUGAAGCAGGGUGCUCGAACACUGAUAAAUUGAGUUUUGAUGCUAAUGGGGCCUUAAAAGAAAAAAAAAAAAAGGUAUGAAGUGGUAUCUGAAACAUGAUACCUAAAUAUAUCACCAAAAAAUGUUCUAAGGCAAUCAACAAUCAUCAUCAAGUAAAUGAGUAAUGGUAAAGGAUCUUUCAAGAAUCCAAGAGGUGAAAAGCUGGAAUGGAGUGUUCUUAGACCGCCAAGUCAAAACAAUAGAUGAUGAAUAUAUUAGUUAUUCAAGUUCACAAUUGUUUGA